rnacentral:rRNA from 1 species
GAUGAACGCUGGCGGCGUGCCUAAUACAUGCAAGUCGAGCGAACAGACGAGGAGCUUGCUCCUCUGACGUUAGCGGCGGACGGGUGAGUAACACGUGGAUAACCUACCUAUAAGACUGGGAUAACUUCGGGAAACCGGAGCUAAUACCGGAUAAUAUAUUGAACCGCAUGGUUCAAUAGUGAAAGACGGUUUUGCUGUCACGUAUAGAUGGAUCCGCGCCGCAUUAGCUAGUUGGUAAGGUAACGGCUUACCAAGGCGACGAUGCGUAGCCGACCUGAGAGGGUGAUCGGCCACACUGGAACUGAGACACGGUCCAGACUCCUACGGGAGGCAGCAGUAGGGAAUCUUCCGCAAUGGGCGAAAGCCUGACGGAGCAACGCCGCGUGAGUGAUGAAGGUCUUCGGAUCGUAAAACUCUGUUAUUAGGGAAGAACAAAUGUGUAAGUAACUAUGCACGUCUUGACGGUACCUAAUCAGAAAGCCACGGCUAACUACGUG